UACGGAGGAUGCAAGCGUUAUCCGGAAUGAUUGGGCGUAAAGCGUCCGCAGGUGGCGAUGUAAGUCUGCUGUUAAAGAGUGAGGCUCAACCUCAUAAGAGCAGUGGAAACUACAUAGCUAGAGUACGUUCGGGGCAGAGGGAGUUCCUGGUGUAGCGGUGAAAUGCGUAGAGAUCAGGAAGAACACCAGUGGCGAAGGCGCUCUGCUAGGCCGUAACUGACACUGAGGGACGAAAGCUAGGGGAGCGAAUGGG
rnacentral:rRNA from 1 species